CAGGGUGUGACGGCUGGGUCUGGACUUUGGAUACCCGGAAUUGGCUACCGGAGGCGCCGGGUCGUAGGCCUGGGGAAGCGAGAUUCUCCCAGGGAUUUCUCUGAGCUGGAGGGAAGCCAGAACACCAGUAGUCUCCAUAAUGUCCUUUAGUUCUCUGAGCAACAUUCGUCGAUAGCUUUGGUCACCAGCCUGUAUCUGGCUCCACGGGACCCCAUAUUGUCCACAGUGGUUCCUCUCAUACCAGACCUUUUCCUGAGAACAGCAAUUUGCUCCAUUUUGAUCUGGCUUUGAACUAGUCCUCGUGGCCCAGGCCCAUACCGACCAGGCAAAUCACAGCCACCUGUAUCCAAAAAGGACAGAACCGAUAACACCUUUACAUGAAGGGAUGGAGAAAAUUGCCCCUAAGGAAAGGAGCAGGACACUCUCCACAGGACAGGACUCUGUCCAGGCAACAAUGAUUUGUUUAUCCUGACCUGACUUCUGCUCAAGUAAUGUCAAUGACAACAACUCCUGAACCUAUGCCAGAGCAAGGACUGAGAUAAUGACCAACCAGCCCACAAUGUAACUGGGGCUGUUGAAUGCAUACCUGCCACUUCCUGCCCUAAUUAUUUUUCUAUGUAAACCCAAGGCUUAUGCCUCAUCUCUGGCAGAAAAAGAUGAUGGGUAAAAGCAGAUGGCAGAAGGGUGAGUGGGCUGAAGUCAUUACUUUGUUUCUUCCUAUGGUAUGCUUGGGCUUUGUAAUACCGAUCUCCUUUAUCUGCCUUUUACUACUACUCAUCUCUUUAGUUGUGGUACUGGAGUCAGUGGCCAGUCCUGACUUAAGGAAACCCAGCAUUUGGGGCCGGAGGCCUAAAACUAUGGUUUCAAGCUGGCUUUGUUCCCACCUGCCCCACAGAACAGGCACCAAAGGGAGAUGCGGUUUCUCCAAAAUAAUAUCCCAAGUGAUAUGGUGGAGGAAGUAAGGAUGGAAUAUAAUAUUUGACUUGGAUCGUAUAAAAUGGAUAAUGAAUGAUUUUAAGAUAUAAAUGUAACUGCUCUCUGUGGCUAAGACUUCCCUGGUAACUAGCUAUUGUAGCUACUGUAACUCUGUUUCUGCUGCUUUCUGAACAAUGCAUGUCCCAACCCAGCUGAGCCCUCACCACCCUUUGUUCUAUUCCCCAGCCGCCCACCAGCAAAACCUUGGAGGGAAAUUUGAACUUAAGGUGUGAAUUUCCUGAAACCAUCAUUGACUAAAACCACCAACUAACCUCCCCCUUUUCCCUGCAGUAGCCAAAAAUGCUUAAAGGCCAACAUGUACUGGUGCUCUGGGCCAUUUCCUGGGAUUCCCGACUUCAGUCCUGCCACGUCAGUACUUUUCGUUCAAUAAAAUCUUUUACAUUUUCA